rnacentral:piRNA from 1 species
UACUAGAAAUAAGAAAGCAGGUGCAAGGAA